AUUGAACGCUGGCGGCAGGCCUAACACAUGCAAGUCGAACGGUAACAGGAAGAAGCUUGCUUCUUGCUGACGAGUGGCGGACGGGUGAGUAAUUUCUGGGAAACUGCCUGAUGGAGGGGGAUAACUACUGGAAACGGUAGCUAAUACCGCAUAACGUCGCAAGACCAAAGAGGGGGACCUUCGGGCCUCUUGCCAUCGGAUGUGCCCAGAUGGGAUUAGCUAGUAGGUGGGGUAACGGCUCACCUAGGCGACGAUCCCUAGCUGGUCUGAGAGGAUGACCAGCCACACUGGAACUGAGACACGGUCCAGACUCCUACGGGAGGCAGCAGUGGGGAAUAUUGCACAAUGGGCGCAAGCCUGAUGCAGCCAUGCCGCGUGUAUGAAGAAGGCCUUCGGGUUGUAAAGUACUUUCAGCGGGGAGGAAGGGAGUAAAGUUAAUACCUUUACUCAUUGACGUUACCCGCAGAAGAAGCACCGGCUAACUCCGUG
rnacentral:rRNA from 1 species